rnacentral:rRNA from 1 species
UACGGAGGGGCAAGCGUUGUCCGGAAUCACUGGGCGUAAAGGGCGUGUAGGCGGGAAGGAAAGUCAGAUGUGAAAUCCCUGGGCUCAACCCAGGAACUGCAUUUGAAACUCCCUUUCUUGAGUGUCGGAGAGGAAAGUGGAAUUCCUGGUGUAGAGGUGAAAUUCGUAGAUAUCAGGAGGAACACCGGUGGCGAAGGCGGCUUCUGGACGACAACUGACGCUGAGACGCGAAAGCGUGGGGAGCAAACAGG